rnacentral:rRNA from 1 species
UGGGGGUAAAUUAAUAUAAUAAAAUAAAUAAUAAAAAUAAUUAUAAAAAAUAAUUAAUGGGGGUUAAAGUAUUUUUUAGAAAAAAAUUUAUUAAUUUAUAGUUUAAUAGUAUUGUGAAAGAAUUUUGAAAUAAAGUUAAAAAUUAAUUAUUAUAUAAGUAAAUUUAGUUUAUUGUAUCUUGUGUAUCAGAGUUUAUUAAAAAGUAUUUUUAAAUGAAAAUAUCUCGAAUUUAAAGAGAUAAUUAAUUAUUAAAGUUAAUGUGACAUAAUUAUUUUAAAUAAUUAAUUUGAAAUGAAAUGUUAAUCGUUUUUAAAAAUAUCUAGUUUUUUUAGAAAAAAAUUUAAUUUUAAAUUAAUUUAAUAAUUUUUUUUAAAUUUAUUAUAUAAAAUUAUAUAUUUAAUUAAAUAUUUUAGGGGAUAAGCUUUAAAUUAAAUUUUUAUAAUAAUUAAUAAAUUAUUUAAAUAUUUUAAAAUUUAUAUUUUUUAUAAAUUAUAAUUUUUUAUAAAUAAUUUUAUUUAUUUUAAAAUUUAAAUUUAUAUUUAAAUUUAUAUAAAAAAAUAAUUUUUAAUAAUAAAAAAUUAGUUAUAAUGAUAAAAUUAGUAUAUAAAAAAAAAAAUGAAAUAUAAUUAAUUAAAAUUAAUAAAAAGGAAUUCGGCAAAAAUUUAUAUCCACUUGUUUAUCAAAAACAUGUCUUUUUGAUAAUAAUAUAAAGUCUAAUCUGCCCACUGAAAUUAUUUAAAGGGCUGCAGUAUAUUGACUGUACAAAGGUAGCAUAAUAAAUAGUCUUUUAAUUGAAGACUUGUAUGAAUGAUUUGAUGAGAUAUAAUCUGUCUCUUUGUUAAAAAUUAGAAUUUAAUUUUUUAGUUAAAAAGCUAAAAUAAUUAUAAAAGACGAGAAGACCCUAUAGAGUUUUAUAAUUUUAUAAUUUUAAUUUUUUUAUUAAUUUUAAAUAUUAAAAUUAUAAAAUUAUUUUGUUGGGGUGAUAAAAAAAUUUAUUAAACUUUUUUUUAAAAAUUACAUUAAUUUAUGAAUAAUUGAUCCAUAAUUUAUGAUUAUAAGAAUAAAUUACCUUAGGGAUAACAGCGUAAUUUUUUUUUUUAGUUCUUAUAAAAAGAAAAGUUUGCGACCUCGAUGUUGGAUUAAGAUAAAAUUUAAAUGCAAAAGUUUAAAAUUUUUGAUCUGUUCGAUCAUUAAAAUCUUACAUGAUCUGAGUUCAAACCGGUGUGAGCCAGGUUGGUUUCUAUCUUUAUAAAAAUAAAAUAGUUUA